GACGAACGCUGGCGGCGUGCCUAACACAUGCAAGUCGAACGGAGAUUUCAGCAAUGAAAUCUUAGUGGCGAACGGGUGAGUAACGCGUAGACAACCUGCCUUUUAGAUGGGGACAACACCGCGAAAGUGGUGCUAAUACCGAAUGUUGUAUUUUAAUCGCAUGAUUGAGAUACUAAAGAUGGCCUCUGUAUAUGCUAUCGCUAAAAGAUGGGUCUGCGUCUGAUUAGCUAGUUGGUGAGGUAAUGGCUCACCAAGGCGACGAUCAGUAGCCGGUCUGAGAGGAUGAACGGCCACACUGGGACUGAGACACGGCCCAGACUCCUACGGGAGGCAGCAGUGGGGAAUCUUCCGCAUGGACGAAAGUCUGACGGAGCAACGCCGCGUGAGUGAAGAAGGUUUUCGGAUCGUAAAACUCUGUUUUCAGGGACGAAUGUGCAGCUUGUAAAUAAUGAGUUGUAAUGACGGUACCUGAGUAGAAAGCCACGGCUAACUACGUGCCAGCAGCCGCGGUAA
rnacentral:rRNA from 1 species